AUGGCGCUCGACCCCGCAGAGCCGCAUCUCAGACGAGCCGAAAAAGAUGUUUUGAUCCCUAAAAUAAUGAGAGAAAAGGCCCGAGAGAGAUGUUCUGAACAAGUUCAAGAUUUCACUAAAUGUUGCAAGGACUCUGGAAUCCUUGGGGUAGUAAAAUGCCAGAAAGAAAAUUCUGCAUUGAAAGAAUGUCUAACUGCUUACUAUAAUGAUCCAGACUUUCGUGAAGAAUGCAAAAUGGAAUACCUGAAGGAAAGGGAAGAAUUCAGAAAAACUGGAAUUCCUACCAAGAAAAGGCUGAGGAAGCUUCCCACAAGCAUGUAGGCAACUAUUCAAAUGAUACUCAGGAACGCCAAUGUUCAUGGAAAUCACAGUCACCUGAAAUGAUGGACUCAAGGAAGUGUGUUUGCUUUAUCCUUAAUAAUGGAAAUAAUUUUAUCUGAAAUAAAGAUUUUUUU